GUUCCACAUUUUGGUGCUACAUGGGGCUUCCCAGAGUAUGAUAAUAAAGUAUUGUUGCAGUUCUUUGACAUCUUGAUAUAGCUACAUUUUCUAAUGUGUUGUGUUCCAUUGAUAUAUGCUAUCUUUCAGACGGUAUCAUACUUUAGCACUCUACCAAAAUUAAGGAGGCAAAGAAAUUACAACGGCAAAAAGAAGCCAAAAGAGAGACGGGUAAACCGAAAAAGAAAUGGAUGAGACUAAAGGAAAAAUUAUAAAAAAACGACACAUGCAAUAUUAUUUUAUGGAUUUUGGGUAGAUUUUGCACUUUUCUUCAUUCCUCUUCAUUUUAUAGUCUUCUUUUGGAUUAUAAAUAAGGAGAAAUUUGAAAGUA